UUUAGCAGCCAUAUCACCCUGCUGCCCAAGACUGUUUGCCCACUGAAGCUAAGCAGGGUUGAGCCUGCUCAGUACCUGGAUGGGAGACCUCCUGGGAAAACUAGGUUGCUGCUGGAA
rnacentral:rRNA from 1 species